rnacentral:rRNA from 1 species
UUAAAAAGCUCGUAGUUGGAUUUCGGAGUGGGCCAGUUGGUCCGCCGCAAGGUGUGUUACUGACUGGUCUGCUCUUCUUCGCAAAGACUGCGUGUGCUCUUUGUUGAGUGUGCGUAGGAUUUACGACGUUUACUUUGAAAAAAUUAGAGUGUUCAAAGCAGGCUAUUGCUUGAAUACAUGAGCAUGGAAUAAUGGAAUAGGACUUUGGUCCCAUUUUGUUGGUUUCUAGGACCGAAGUAAUGAUUAAGAGGGACAAUUGGGGGCAUCCGUAUUUCGUUGUCAGAGGUGAAAUUCUUGGAUUUACGAAAGACGAACAACUGCGAAAGCACUUGCCAAGAGUGUUUUCAUUAAUCAAGAACGAAAGUUAGAGGAUCGGAGACGAUCAGAUACCGUCCUAGUUCUAACCAUAAACGACGUCGACUAGGGAUCAGCGGGCGUUAUCGUACGACCCCGUUGGCACCUUACGGGAAACCAAAGUUUCUGGAUUCCGGGGGAAGUAUAGU